rfam:Ailuropoda melanoleuca scaffold3107_1, whole genome shotgun sequence.
UUUUUAGUGUUAAGUAUGUCCCAUGCAAUAUUUGAGACAUACUUACACUAAAA